GCGUGAGUGAUGAAGGCCCUAGGGUCGUAAAGCUCUUUCGCCAGAGAUGAUAAUGACAGUAUCUGGUAAAGAAACCCCGGCUAACUCCGUGCCAGCAGCCGCGGUAAUACGGAGGGGGUUAGCGUUGUUCGGAAUUACUGGGCGUAAAGCGCACGUAGGCGGAUCAGAAAGUAUGAGGUGAAAUCCCGGGGCUCAACCCCGGAACUGCCUUGUAAACUCCUGGUCUUGAGUUCGAGAGAGGUGAGUGGAAUUCCGAGUGUAGAGGUGAAAUUCGU
rnacentral:rRNA from 1 species